rnacentral:lncRNA from 1 species
AAUUCCCUUAUUUCUACAUAAAUUUUGAGAGCAAGAACGGCCCAGGUCUUCCCCAAUCCACCCAAGGUAUGAUACCUAUCAUGAAUUCUAUUUAGAAACUUUUAGGUAAAUAUUGGUUAACACCUAAAAUUUCUAAAAUUCUAGAUUUUCAACAAGAUUUAAAGGACUUUUCAAUAACCCCAAGAUCUAGGUUUCUAAGAGCAACAUCUAAGGUAAUUUCUUUGCUCUCUAUUAUCGAGAUUAGAAGCUUUACAGGUUUGAAUGGUUGGAAUAAUAGAGUUCAUGGAUAAAAACCUAGUUAUGAUGUUGGGGCCAAGUUGAACCUAAUUUGUGAAUUUAGGUUAAAGUUACUGGUGGGCUAAUUGUUCUAACCCCUUAUUGGAGAUUCUCAAAGGGUUUAACUACACGAACUCAUUGGUAAAGUUCCUGAUAGUCGAUUGAGGUACGUUGAGUUUAUAAUUUUCUUAAGUCAAGGGCCAAACAAGACAGGUGUAAUAAGAAAAUUGCUUGACAAAACAAAUAAGCUUGAAUCCUCUUAAGUGUACAUGUUCAGAUUGUUGUUUGAAACUCCUUGGUUUGCUUAAAUGCUAAUAAUCUAUCAUUGCUCACUAUACAGAAUUUAUUACAGAAAUUGAAUUGCCUUGCUUGAAAUCUUAGUUAGCUCAGAAUUUCAAAAGUAAUUGAAUCUCCUAAUUGGUUUGAUGUGUUGUUAUGCUAUUAUUUGCACUUAUUUAGAUUCACCUCAAAUUAGAUAUAUGUGAUCACAUAUGGCAAGAGAGAAGUAGCCAACCUCCCCAGGUAUGAGUCCUAUGGGGCCAGGGCUAGCUACCCCACACUAGUAGAUGCACUAUGUUCAGAUUUAGAAAGGAAAAAUGUGGUUAACCUCCGCAGUGUAAAAGCCGUUAGGGUCAGGGAAUGAGACAUCUAUCCUCUCACUUGCAAGCGCCAUUGCUUGUUACAUACUUAGCCUGUUUGAGCCUACCACAUCAUGUGGCAAGCGUUGAGUGUGCAGGUGAGGAAGCUCGUAGCUAGAUUUCAGAUUUUAAAUUUCCCGUAGAUCCAAUAGAUAGACUCCGUUGAUUCCUCCCUGCAAUUGUUGAUUGUCUUCAAUAUUUUAGUCAUUAUGACGUAUUAUUAUUAUUAUUAUUAUUAUUAUUAUUAUUAUUAUUAUUAUUAUUACUAUUACUAUUAUUACUAUUAUUAUUAUUAUUAUUAUUAUUAUUAUUAUUAUAUUGUUGUUGUUGUUGUUGUGUUUUAGGAGAAUACUCCAAAGAUAGGUUAUCACUAUCAUUGGUUGAUUUAAAUUUUCAGAUAUCUUUUGGCUAAUUUCAUAUGGUCUUAGUAUAAGACUUAUUCAUACUUGGUUGGCUUAAUAAUAUUAUCAACAUGUAUCUUUACAUGGAACAAAACUUACUCGGCAGAUAAGAGAGAUUGAGCGCCAUCAUGUCCCAUCCUAAUUUGGGGCGUGACAGUUGGUGUAUCCAUAAUGGACACACAAAUUUUACUUUGGAACUAGACUCUCUUAUAGUUACUGUGACCGGCAAGCUGAAGGAUAAGAAAACACACGAUUAUAAGAUUUUAAGAUCAUUGAUGAAACUCUACAAAUGUUGAACUAGCUGGCUAAUGUCAAUAUUAUGCAUUGCAAAUCUGGUGGCAGGCUAUCUAGCAAAACUUGCUACUACCAGCCCUGAGGUUUCCUUCUCUCAAUUCAGUGGCUAAGGAUCCCUACUUCCACGUACAUGGACAAUUGUAACAUGCCAAGCAUAACAUAUGAUAAAGAAAACUUUUUUGUUAGCUAAGUUUUUUUAAAUAUAAUUUGUCAGUAUCACUGGGUGUGUUGUAUUAUCUUUAGAAAGGAGGGGGCGAUUGUCUUACCUCCAAGAUUACAACACUAGGGAGUCCACCCUAACCAAAAAAUCACAGAGAGGUGUAAAACAACCUCCUGUGCCCAAAAAUUACAAGAUGGGAGGCUUAACUCACAAAGAAAUUUGCCUUAUCAUACUUUGUUCUAAUGCUAGGUACUUGAAAUUUAUCUAAAAUGAAAGUUCCCUUGAUUUCCCUAGGCAAAAAGUAGAAAGACAUGUACAUCUUCCUCUCCGAUGUGUUGGAAGUCAUUUUUUGCCAAGUAGUCCGCUAUCUGGUUAGCUUCCCUAUAGCAAUGUAUAGGAGUGAUAUUGGCUUGGUUCAUACACUAUGAGAUAUCAUCGACCGUGUUCUUCAUUUUAUAAUUGUCAGUAUGUCUUUCUUUGAUCAUGUUGACUAUGAGCAAAGAGUCCAUUUCAAGCAUGAAGUCUGAAAAAUCAUUCUGAAUACACCAUUUAAUACCAACCAAAGUCGCAAAAGCUUCUACUUCAUUGUUGCUUCUGCAGUUUGCUGAUAGAGAGAAGGCCAUACAUAAAUCACCCUCCUCAUUCCUCAAAACACCUCCAAGCCAUGCUUUACCAUUUUGAUGGAUAAAACUUCCAUCUGUGUUUAACUUGAAUGCUCCCUGGUAUGGCUUCAUCCAUGUUGCCAUAAUAGUUUCAGGGAUGGGUUGUAGUCUGACCAACAAUACUUGACCCAAGGCAAUGUCAACUUGCAUUUAGGAAAGGUCCUCUGUGCAGCAACCAUAACAUUCCAACUGAUCUGUUGCUUCAUUUUGUACAAGUUGAACUUCUUUUGAUCUACUUAUUUACACGAGCAUCCAUUCUUCCAAAUUUUCCAACAGGUGAUGAUUGGAAUGAUCUGCAAAGCUUGUUUGUGAACAACAUUGUUGGACCUUUGUUGCCACCAGUGGUUCAGCCACCCUCGAAUAGGUAUUUGUACAUGCUUAAUUCCCAAGGAAGCGCCAAUUGCUUUCUAGAUAAACCUUGCUGCAUAGCUUUCCAUAAACACAUGUUGUAUAGACUCAUUGAUAUGGUUAGUACAACAAACCAUCUAGAAACAAUGUCUACCAAAGUUAAGGAUUACUUCAUCAAAUGGAAGUUUUGACAUCCAUAAUCUCCAAGUUAGAAAGGAAAUUUUAAAAGGAAUGCUAGAGUGACAUACCUUACUAAGGAAUUGAUCCUUAGUUUUAAUAGCUCUGAACGUGUUCUGAGUAGUUUUAUUGGAGUAUGUACCAUUAUCAGAGAGAUUGCGUAUAGCUUGAUCGGGGGGGGGGGGGGGUGGGUGGGUUUGGUCUCCAAUGUUGAUUCCUUUGAUGUGGUCCACAAUAUCAUCUGGGACUGAGAUUUUCUAUGUUCCAUUCACCAUUGUGAAUGUACUCUUUCACAAGAGUUUUCGGAUUCUUCCUUUCAUUUGGGAAGAGAAGAUCUAAAGGGCCCUUCCACGACCAAUUAUCCCACCACAUGUUAGAGUUGCCGUAAUUUACUACCCAAUGAAUAUGUGGCUCUGCUUUGUCUCUUAUUUUCCUCAAUUUUUGUCAUACAUGUGAAUCCCCUGGAGCAUAUUUUUUACUUACAGGAUGAGAUCUUAAGUAGUAUUUCUGAAUCAUGAAGUUAGCCCAAAGGGAUGGAAUGGUCCUAAGUCUCCAUCAAAAUCAAUCACUCUUCUAACACAUAUGCCUCAUUCAUCACAUGGGAAGCAUAGGGUUUUCCAUGAUCUCCAAUAGUAUUUUCUUUGAUCUCUAGAGGAUCCCCAAAAGGAGUUGGCAAAACGCUUUUCAAUAGAGUUAAAAGUACUCUUUGGGGGGGAGGGCAUGGCAGAAAAAGUAUAAAUAGGAAGAUAUUGAAGGACAUGCUUAAUUAAAAUCAAUCUACCACAUUAAGAUAAAAUCUUACCAUGCCAUCCAUUAAGCUUAUUAACAAUUUUAUUAACCAUACCAUUAAAAUAUACAAUCUUUUUCCUUACUACAUAAAUUGGACAACCUAAAUAUGUAAAGGGAACAUCCUUGUACAUAUAACCAGUAGCAAUUCUGAUUCUAUUGAUUCUAUGUGCACAAGUAUUGGGGGCAGUUAAGAAGAAGCUUUUAUGAGUAUUGACCAUAUGACCAGAGCAAUUUUUAUAAUCUUUAAUGAUUUUCAUGAUAAGAUUAAUAGAAUCAUUGUUGCCACUAGUGAAAAUAACAAUAUCAUUAGCAUAGGCAAGGUGAUUGAUAUGUGGACCUCUAGUAGACAUAGAGAAAGGAGUAAGAGACAUCAGUGUAUAAAUCAAUGAGAGAGCAGGUAAGUACCUCAGAAGCUAGGAUGAAAAGGGUGGGAGAUAGGGGAUUUCCCUGUUUCAAACCUUGACUUGUGGUUAAAAAAAGCCUUUCCUAUUACUAUUAACAAUAAUAAAAAACCUAAAUGCCAGACAAUAGAUUCAUGAUCAUGCAAUUCCAAUGUUUUGAGAAACUAAAUUUCCUAAGAAAUAAAGUAUCAAAAUUCCAAGAAAGUUUGUCAUAUGCUUUAGUCAUAUCAAGUUUCAAAAUAACAUUACCACCAUUAUUUUUCUUAGUAAUGUAUUGAACAAUUUCCUGUGCUAAGAGGACAUUUUUAGAAAUAAGCCUAUCUUUAAUAAAAUCAUUCAGAUUAGCAUUAAUUAAUCUAGGCAAUAGAGGAUUGAGUCUAAUAGAGAGGAUUUUUGAAAUAAUCUUGUUAGUGAAAUUAGACAGACUAAUAGGUCUAAAAUUACUAAAGGAUAGAUGGGAGUCAAUUUUAGGAAUAAUCACCAAGCAAGUAUGAGUAUAAUAUUUAGUCAGAGGGGUACCUUUGAAGAAGUCCUAAACAAGGCCAUUGAUGUCAUCUUUGAUAAUGUCCCAACAGGUAUAGAAGACCUAUUCCGGGGUCAUUUACACAUAUUUUACCUUCCGGCCAAUGUAUUCAACUUAAGCUUUCUUCUUGAAGACUAAGUGUCUCAAUUCAUUUCAAAACCUCAUCGGACCCAAACCAAUUACCCCAGUGAGUUAUAUAACAGUUGUAAAGCAUGAAUUUAGCAGUAAAUGGGGGAAAAUGGAUUGUAAUAUUCAAAACAACUGGUCGGGUCGUUACAUCCUCCCUCUCUUAAACAAACGUUCGUCCUCGAACGGGUUUAGAAAAAUACCUGGAGUCUCAAAUAGGUGUGGAUAUUUUGUUCGCAUCUCAUGUUCAGUCUCCCAAGUUGCUUCUCCGACUGGCUGGUCUCUCUACUGUACUUUCACUGAAGCUAUGUUCUUUGACCUCAACUUUCGAACCUGUCGAUCUAAAAUUGUCACUGGCUCUACAUCAUAAGUCAAAUUACCAUCCAACUGAAUUGUACUGAAAUCCAAAACAUGGGACGGAUUCCCAAUAUAUCUCCGGAGCAUAGAUACAGGAAACACUGGAUGAACACUUGAUAGGCUAGGUGGCAAAGUAAGUUCAUAGGCCACCUCUCCAAUCCUUUUAAGUAUUUCAAAAGGUCCAAUAUACCUUGGACUCAACUUGCCCUUCUUCCCAAAUCUCAUAACGCCCUUCAUAGGCGAAAGCUUUAGCAGAACCUUCUCCCCAACCAUGUAAUACACAUCGCGGGCUUUCCUCUCGGUAUAACUCUUCUGUCUAGACUGCGCCGUGCGAAGACGCUCCUGAAUCAAUUUAGCCUUGUCCAAGGCAUCCUGAACCAAGUCAGUACCCAAUAGCCUAGCCUCACUUAGCUCAAAGCAACCCACUGGAGACCGACACCAUCUCCAAUAUAAAGCCUCAUACGGAGCCAUCUGAAUGCUCGACUGGUGGCUAUUAUUAUAACCAAACUCCGCUAGAGGUAGGAACUGAUCCCAAGAACCCCCAAAAUCAAUAACACACGCGCGUAACAUAUCCUCCAAUAUCUGAAUAGUGCGCUCGGACUGUCCGUCCAUCUGAGGGUGAAAUGUUGUACUCAGUUGUACCUGUGUACCUAACUCUCGUUGCACUGCCCUCCAAAACUACGAUGUAAACUAUGUGCCCCUAUCGAAAAUAAUGGAAACGGGCACCCCAUGAAGGCGAAAAAUCUCGCGGAUAUAGAUCCCUACUAACCGCUCCGAAGAAUAAGUAGUGCCAACUGGAAUAAAAUGUGCGGACUUGGUCAACCUAUCCACAAUCACCCAAAUGACAUCAAAUUUCCUUGAAGUUCAUGGAAGCCCCACUACAAGGUCUAUGGUAAUACGCUCCCACUUCCACUCCGGAAUAUCAAGUCUUUGAAGUAAUCCGCCUGGUCUCUAAUGCUCAUACUUUACCUGCUGACAAUUUAAACACCGAGCUACAAACUCAACUAUGUCUUCAUUUUUCUCCACCAAUAGUGCUGCCUCAAAUCCUGAUACAUUUUUGUGGCACCCGGAUGAAUAGAAUACCAUGAACUGUGGGCUUCUUCAAGAAUCAAUUCACGUAACCCAUCUACAUUUGGCACACAAAUUCGACCUUGCAUCCUCAGUACCCCAUCAUCUCUGAUAGUAACAUCUUUGGCAUCAAUGUGCUGAACUGUGUCCUUCAAGAUAUGUAAAUAGGGAUCAACAUACUGGCGCUCUCUAAUGCGGUCAUAUAAAGAAGACCGAGAAACCAUACAAGCUAGAACCCGACUAGGCUCCAAAAUAUCUAAUCUCAUAAACUGAUUGACCAAGGCUUGAACCUCCAGUGCUAAUGUCCUCUCUGCUACCGGUAGAUAUGCUAAACUGCCCAAACUCUCUGCCUUUCGACUCAAUGCAUCGGCCACAACAUUAGUCUUCCCCGGAUGAUACAGAAUGGUGAUAUCAUAAUCUUUAAGUAACUCUAACCACCUCUGCUGUCGCAAAUUAAGAUCCUUCUGUUUGAAUAGAUGUUGUAGUCUCCGACGGUUAGCAUAGACCUCACAAUGGACACCGUACAAAUAAUGCCGCCAAAUCUUCAAGGCAUGAAUAAUAGCUGCCAAUUCAAGGUCGUGCACAUGAUAAUUCUUCUCAUGUACCUUCAAUUGUCUGGAUGCGUAGGCAAUCACCCUACCAUCGUGCAUUAACACCGCGACGAGACCAAUACGCGAUGCAUCACAAUACAUAGUAUAAGAUUCGGUACCUGUAGGCAAAACUAAUACUAGAGUAGUAGUCAAAGUUGUCUUGAGCUUUUGGAAGCUCUCCUCACACUCCUCGGACCAUUUGAACGGAGCACCCUUCUGGGUUAAUCUGGUCAUAGGUGCAACAGUAGAAGAGAAACCCUAUACAAAUCGGCGAUAAUAACCUGCCAAGCCAAGAAAACUCCGAAUCUUUGUAGCUGAGGAUGGCCUGGGCAAACUCUAAACUUCCUCUAUCUUCUUCGGAUCCACCUUGAUUCCUUCACUGGACACUAUGUGUCCGAAGAAUGCCACAGAACUAAGCCAUAACUCACACUUAGAGAAUUUAGCAUUAAGUUUCUCCUCCCUCAGCCUCUGUAAUACAAUACCCAAGUGUUGCGCAUGCUGCUCCUGGCUAUGUGAGUACACCAGGAUAUCAUCAAUAAAUACCACGAAAAAUAAAUCUAGAUAUGGCUGAAAUACACUAUUCGUAAAGUGCAUAAAUGCUGCUGGGGCGUUAGUCAACCCAAAAGACAUCACAAGAAAUUCAUAGUGACCAUAACGGGUCUUGAAUGCCGUCUUUAGAAUAUUCGAAUCCCGAAUUUUUAACUGGUGAUAGCCAGACCGCAAAUCAAUUUUUGAAAAUACCUUGGCACCCUGUAGCUGAUCAAAUAGGUCAUCAAUACAAUGCAAUGGGUAUCUGCUCUUCAUUGUAACCUUGUUCAGCUGUCGAUAAUCGAUACACAUGCACAUGGAUCCAUCUUUCUUCUUCACAAAUAAGACUGGAGCACCCCACAGUGAUGCACUAGGCCGAAUGAAGCCUUUAACAAGCAGCUCUCACAACUGCUCCUUUAAUUCUUUCAAUUCUGCUGGGGCCAUCCGAUAUGGUGGAAUAGAAAUGGGCUGAGUGAUCGGUACCAAAUCAAUACCGAAAUCAAUAUCUCUGUCUGGUGACAUACUCGGCAAAUCUGUAGGAAACACAUCCGAGAAGUCUCGCACUAUCGGUACAAAAUCAAUAGUAGGAAUGUUUGCAUCAACAUCUCUUACAAAAGCCAAAUAUGAUAGACACCCCUUCCCAAUCAUUCGAUGGGCCUUUAAGUAAGAAAUUACUCUACUGGGAACAUAUUCUAGAGAACCUUUCCACUUGACCUUGAGAAAUCCCGGUAUCUCCAGUGUCACAGUUUUUGUGUGACAGUCCAGGAUAGCAUGACAUGGAGACAACCAAUCCAUACCCAAAAUCACGUCGAAAUCAACCACACUAAGCAAUAAGAGAUCAACUCUGGUCUCCAGUUCCCUAAUAGUUACCACUCACGACCGAUACACACGGUCCACAAUAAUAGUAUCGCCCACCGAUGUAGAUACAUGGACAAAUGAAGUUAAGGACUCACGGGGCAUAUCCAAAUAACAAGCAAAAUAUGAUGAAACAUAUGAGUAUGUGGAACUAGGGUCAAUAAUAUAUAAGCUUCCCUAUGGCACACUAAGACAAUAUCUGUGAUCACUGCAUCUGAAGCAAUGACAUCUGGUCUGGCAAGAAGGGAAUAGAAUCGGGCCUGACUGCCACCUGAUUGGCCUCCCCCUCUAGAGAGACCUCUAGCUAACUGGGUUCCACCCCGAGCUGGCUGGGCGGGUGGUGAAGCAACUGGUGCUGGAGUCAUAGUCUGACUCCUCUACUGCACUGGACCUCCCUAGAGCUGAGGACACUGCCUCCACAUAUGUCUAAACUCUCCACACUCAAAGCAACUCCCCGAUAUUGGUGGUGGGGACUGAGGAGAACCUCGAGCAAUGGAAUAACUAGAUGAGCCCUGAACCGAUGGAGAACGUGAUAGACUCUGAGCUGGAAGAGCACUGAGAGAUGAGUGGCCCUACUGAGAAGUAUGAAAACCAUGGCCAGAUGAUGCACCACGGUGAGUUGGACGAGCAGUCUAAGCAUGUCUAAAAUGACGACCCCUGCCGUGGUGAAACUGGCCUCCAGAAGGAACACCACCAAAACUAAUGGAUCCAUGAGGCCUUUUGGCCUCCCUCUCUACUCGCUCCUGGCGACGGACCGACUCUAUAUCCCAAGAAAUAUCAACAACCUCCUUAAAAGAAGUGCCAGUAACCCUCUCUCUAAUCAUAAGAAUUCAGAGAUGAUAUGCGAGACCAUCAACGAACCUCCUAAUCCUCUCUCUAUCUGUGGGAACCAACCAAACAGCAUGACGGGCUAACUCAGAAAAUCUCAUCUCAUAUUGCGUCACAGUCAUACUAUCCUGACCUAACUGCUCGAACUGUCUGCGCAGCUCCUCUCUACGGGACUGCGGUACAUACUUCUCCAGGAAGAUAGCAGAAAAUUGCUGCCAUAUAAGGGGCGCUGCACCAACCGGCCUACGCCUCUCAUAAGUCUCCUACCAAGUGAAGGUAGCUCCAGAGAACUGGAAAGUAGUGAAUGAGACCCCAUUGGUCUCCAAAAUACCUGCUGUACGAAGAAUCCUCUAACACUUAUCCAAGAAACCCUAGGCAUCCUUGCCCUCUGCCCCACUGAAGGUCGGAGGCUGAAGUCUACCAAACCUCUCCAAUCUACGCUGCUCGUCAUCAGGCAUGGAAGGAACCACAUAGUCCUGAACAGCUGGAACCAGUUGGGCUUGUGGUACCCCCGGUGUCUGCAGUCCCUGCACCACCUGAUAUGGAGUACGGGCAACAGGGGUAUGCGUACCUCCCCCGGCCUAAGAAGUGGCAGGUGCGGCCUGAGCCGAAACCACCUGGGCAAGACAAGUGCAAACAUUCAGUAUCUGGGCCAAAGUUUCCUGAAGGCCUGGAAUCACAAUAGGCACAACUGGUGCUUGAGCUGGCUCUGUCGGCUCAACCAUAUCUGGAAUCUGCUCUUGAGCUGGAGCAACUGGUGGUACUACAAGUGCUGCUCCAACUGCUAGACAAGCCAGACCUCGAUCUCUACCAAGGCCCUGACCUCUUGCGACCCUGGCUGGUGGUACUGGUGGUUGGCCGCCUGAUCCGAAAGUACAUUACUGGUGGCUGGCCUCCUGAUCCGAAAGUACAUGUCCUCACCAUCUGUGAGAGAAUGAAAUAACAGAAAUUUUAGUUUCCGGAAUUAACAAGUUCGCACGACAGAAUACAAGAAAGUGAAAUGUUCCUAAGGGUUCUGCAGCCUCUCGAAGAUAAGUACAGACGUCUCCGUACCGAUCCGCAAGACUCUACUAAACCUGCUCAUGGCUCGUGAGACCUAUGUAGUCUAGGCUCUGAUGCCAACUUGUCACGACCCAAAAUCUCAUCUAUCUUGAUGGCGCAUAUCGUGGUACUAGGCAAGCCUCAACUCAAUAUCUCAACACAGUAGAAAUUUUAAAUAAAGGCGGAAGCUGUUAAUAUUAAAUAAAAACUUUUAGAACAGAAUAUAAUUCCAAAAGUACUAAUCAAUCCAUUCCUAAAACCCGGUGUCAUUGAGUACAUGAGCAUCUAAAUGAUAACAACAUCCUACUGAUCAAACACUGCCUGGAAAUAUAGAACAAUACAACAUGAAAGGAAAGGAGAUUCAAGGUCAGCGAACGUCGUGCAGCUACCUCAAUAGUUUCCUGAGUCUGACUCCUCAAUCAGCAACCGCCAUGACCAGAAGUGUCUAGAUCUGUACACGAGGUACAUGGGGUAACAUGAGUACACCAACUCAGUAAGUAACAGAAAUAAAUAAGGAACUGAGAAGUAGCGACGACUUAUGCAAAUACAAUUAUCUCAAUAACUUUCAAAUAAGAGUAGGCAUACUUUCAAUUUAACAGUUUAAGUCACAUCAGCACGAACUCAAUAAGCCAGAUAUCAAAUUUGACUGAGCAGUAAAUAUUAUCUUCCAAUAAUUUUCAAAACAGUGAUAUGACAUCUACGAUGCAACAAUAAUGCAGCCAAUUCUUUCUCUCAGAGUAACAGUCACUCUGUCCUCCCAUUCACUCCAACCUCACAAUCACUGAUUCCUCACAUUCACUCAUUCCUCCCAGUCGCUCAGCACUCGGCACUCGCACUCAGCACUCAUACUCAGUAGGUACCUGCGCUCACUAGAGGUAUGUACAAACUCUGGAGGGGCUCCUUCAGCCCAAACGCUAUAACAAGCCACCUCAUGGCAUAAAUCACUCAGGCCCUCGGCCUCACUCAAUCAUAAAUUAGUAACAACAUGCUGCGGCAUGCAGCCCGAUCCCAUAAAUAUCGUCACAGAUCAGGCCCUCGGCCUCACUCAGUCAUAAAUCUCUCCAGCCUCUCGGGCUCUCAAAAAUCAUAUAAACAGCCCAAACGUAGGUAAUGUCAUGUAUCAACAACGAACAGCAAGAGACGGAGGCAUAAUAAGCAAGAAAAGCUAUUACUUAGUACAAAACAACAAUUAGUAACUAAUUCAGUAAGUACACGACCUCGCAGGUCUCAACAGUGAUCACAUAAGACCUAAACAUGUUUCUAACAUGAAGUACAAUCAAUUUCCAUGAAAACAAAGGGAACAUAUAUUAAAUAGUAGGCCAAUUGAUUCCACAGUCUCGCGGGACGGACUAAGUCACAAUCCCUACGGUGUACGACCAUACGCCCGUCACCUAGCAUGUGCGUCACCUUAAAAAUUAGUCAUACGACAUAAUGUCUCUGGUUUCAUACCCUCAGGAUAAGAUUUAUAACCGUUACUUACCUCAAUCCGAGCAAAAUCCUACUCCGCAAUGCCUUUGCCUCUCAAAACGGCCUCCGAAUGUCUCGAAUCUAGCCACAAACAAUUCAGUUCAAUCAAUACCAUUUAUAGGAAUUAAUUCCCUAGGAAAUUCUAUAUUUUCCAUUAAAAUUCGGAAAUUGCACUCAAAAUUCACCCGUAGGGCCCACGUCUCGGAAUUCGGAGAAACUCAUAAAAUCCGACUACCCAUUCCGAUACGAGUUCAACCAUACCAAAAUUAUCAAAUUCUGACAACAACUCGACCUCCAAAUCUUAAUUUUUCAUUUUUGAAAAGUUUUGCAAAAAUUUCAAUUUCUUCCAUUUAAAUCCGAAUUAAACGAUGAAUAUAACCAUGUAUUUAUGAAAUAUAAUCACUUCAGAUAUAGAAUACUUACCCCAAAUGUUUCCCUUGAAAAAUAUGUUGAAAAUUGCUUUUCCCGAGCUCUACAAUCGUCAAAAAUGAAUACAAAUGGCUAAUUCCCGAAUAUAAGCUGUUUUCCAGGCAAGUCACAUCCAUGAAAUGCGACUUGCACUUAUUUCCAGCCAAAACAAAAGGCAGUCCCGACCUUCACGAAAUCUAUCAUAACUUUUUGUACAAAUGUCGGAAUGAUGAAUGGUUUAACUUUAUAGAAACUAGAAUGCAAGGACGACAACUUUCAUGUUUUGCAAAUUAUUGGAUUCCUUAUGAAUUUCGAGAUAUAAUCUUCCAAAGUAGCCUCCUUGCAUCAAACAUUUCUGGAAAAUUUCAAAAUAGCUUUACCAACCCUUAUUGAAUCGAUAUUAACAUUCUGUGCAAAUAUUCAAAUGGUUAAUGGUUUAGCUUUCUGGAAACGUGGAUGUGAGGGCUAAAACUUUCAUGUUUUGAAAAUUUUCAGAUUCCUUAUGUAUUUCGAGAUAUAAGCUUCAAAAAUAGCCUCCUCACAUCAAACAUUUCUAAAAAAAAUUCAAAACAGCUUUACCAACCCUUAUUCUGUUAAUUAUAACUUUCUGUACAAAUAUCAAAAUAAUUAAUGGUUUAGUCUUCUGGAAACUAAGAGGUAAGGGCUACAACUUUCAUGUUUUACAAAUUUAUAGAUUCCUUAUGUAUUUUGAGAUAUAAGCUUCCGAAAUAGUCACCACGAUUGCACAGUUGUUGUCCAAUACAGCUUCUGCCGCAGAAAAUUCCAGCAAUCCUUUUUGUCCGAUUUCCCAUUAACCUUUCGAAAUCCACCCGAGGCUCUCGGGACCUUAACCAAUUAUACCAACAAGUCCCAAAAUACAAUACGAACUUAAUCAAGACUUCAAACCACGUCAAACAACACUGAAAUUACGAAUCGCGCAUUGAAUUGAAUUAUGAGUUUUCGAAUCUUUCAACUUCUACAUUUUGCGCCGAAACAUAUCAAAUCAAUCCGCAAUGACUUCAAAUUUUGCACACUAGUCAUAAAUAAAAUAAUAAAGCUAUAAAAAAUAUCAGAACUCGAUUCCGACCCCGAUAUCAAAAGUCAACCCCCUGGUCAAACUUCCAAACUUAAAUUUCUUAUUUUCGCCAUUUCAAUCCUAUUUUAGCUAUGGACCUUGUAAUAAAUAUACCAACACACUUCUAAGCCCGAAAUUACCAUACGGAGCUAUUGGAAUCAUCAGAAAUUCAUUCCAGGGUCAUUUACACAUAUUUCACCUUCCGGUCAAUUUAUUCAACUUAAGCUUUCUUCUUGAAGACUAAGUGUCUCAAUUCAUUUCAAAACCUCACCGGACCCGAACCAAUUACCCUGGCGAGUUAUAUAACAGUUGUAAAGCAUGAAUUUAGCAGUAAAUGGAGGAAAAUGGACUGUAAUAUUCAAAACAGCUGGCCGGGUCGUUAUAGUAAAAGCCUACAUAACUUUGAAAAACAUAAAAAAGUAGCUCUAUGAGAAAAAUACACUUUAAAAGUACUAAUUAAUAGUUGGGUCAAACACAAAUUGCUGCUUAAAAGUAGGGAUAAUGCAUAAAAUCCUCCCCGACCUAUGACCAUAUUACCAACUAUACACCUUUUCUUUUCGGGGGUCCUAUUCCCCCCCUGAACUUUUUUUAAGUAAUAUUAUUUACCCCUUAAAAAGCAACAACCAGAUGCGUGCAAGGUGGUGAAAUACAGGCGCCUAAAAUGUGUAUUUCUUACUUAAAAACUUUUUUUCACCGUUUUCUUCUUCUUCCUUAUUUUCUAUUUGCAGGCCUUCAUUACCAUAUCCGGCCAAAAGGCAAAAACCUCAUUUAAUGGGUUUUAUAUAAUACUUGUUUGAUAUUGUCAGAUCUGGCCGGAGAACGAAACUCCGACGAAGACCCUUGCUCCAACGAAACCCCAAUGAACGAAACCGUUUUGACUGUUCGUAGGUUCUUACUGAAUCAUGCUCGUUGCUCCCUCUAGUUGUAGCUCUGUUUCUAUUAUUAAACAUAUCUGCUUUUGAUUUCUGGGUUGAUUUUGCGUUGUAUUGGAUUUUUGCUCCAGCAUUUCACCGUUGAAACGAUGUCCCCCUUGUUCGUGCGAGAAAAGGUUUAGAAGCGAAGGAAACUAAUUAAUUUGAUGUAAUUAAUUCUGUAAUGUCCCAUCAAAAGAUGACACUUGUACUUGUUAAUCAAUUUUAAAAUUAUUUUUGUAACUUCCACUUGCCUCUAAGAGAGUGUGCACACUCUCUAUGCCAUGUCAGCACUUAAGGUGGUGUUUAUUAUACUUUAAAAUAGUUCAGGGGGUAAUAGGACCCCCGAAAAGAAAAGGUGUGUAGUUGGUAAUAUGGUCAUAGGUCUGGGAGGAUUUUAUGCAUUAUCCCUUAAAAGUAUUUUUCAAAUUAAUUAGCCAAACAUAAACUACUUCACAUAAAAAAUACUUUUUUAAACGAACUUUUGAGAAAAAUACUUUUCCAAAUAUACUGAUUUUAGAAGUUUGGCCAAGCAGACUAUUAGUCAUGAUCAUCAUUAAAUUACUCGAGCUAUUAGUGAGGAUGGGCUUAUUUGUCUCACAACAAAUCUGUUGGAGAUAUAAAAUUCUAGGAAGAUCUCCUACUCUUGAACACCUUAACAUUUGUAAUAUUAUUGUCACGACCCAAAAUUAUUAGUUGUGAUGGCACCUAACUCGACCCGUUAGGUAAGUCAACUAAUAGCCAAUACCAAACCAAAUGAAAUUAUAGGAAGAAUAGUAAAGAAUUAUCUCAACUAUUACAUAUUAACCCAAAAACUGGUAGUACAAAUCAUGAGUUUCUAAGAUUUAGAAUUUACAAAGUUGAUACAAAUAAUUACACGAUCUAUUUGAAAGCUACAUAAAAAGAUUAACAAAAUAUAAAUCUACCUAGGACAAGUGGUAAAUGUAUCUAGAAUGCACGAUUACCUUCAGGGUCAGCUCCCGACAUCACCAGCAGCUCCGCUCCAAAAGUCUGCACGCAAGGUGGAGAAGUGUAGUAUAAGUACAACCGACCCCAUGUACCCAGUAAGUAUUUUGUCUAACCUCGUCGAAUUAGUGACGAUGCUUUUUAGUUAAAAGAUGCUUAUUGAUAAAGACUGUAAUGUAAACUAACAACAGAACUAUACUACCGUAUAACAUGAUAGAGUACACGAAACGAAUGUACAAAACAAUAACAGAGUACUAGAAUAAAUCACAAUUCAACAUAUUCCAAUAUCUCACCCAAUCCUUUUCAUAGAGCGAAAGCCAAUAAAACACAAUAAUCACCUCAAAACUUUCAUAGUGUGAUAAAUAUACUCAAGACAUCGAAUCCAAUGGCACGAUAAUACCCUUCGUGCAUUUAUCUCAUCCUCAUCAAAUAUACGUAAAACGGUACCAACUGAAGGGCAGAAAUACCGAUAACAGAAAUGACAAAGUAAGAAAUACGCAAAUAGUAAUAAUAAACGAGAAUGUAUUUAAUGACAUCAACAACAGACUAGGUAGAAAGCAUAGAGGGACACCAAUUAGGAAAAGGAAUGCAACUUCAGCUAACUAGCAUAGCGGAGGCAUGAAGAUAGAUAUAACAGAUAAGAAAGGGGACACAUGAUCUUUAUAAGUUAACAAGUAGAUACAUGAAUGACUAACAUGGAAGAAGGCAUGUACCUAAGUGCAACGAAAUAGAUAUGACAUGGAUGCAAUUAUAAUAGCAGGAAAUAGGCAUGUUAUUUACAAGUUAAGCAAGUAGAAGGCAUGGGCAACACAACAACAAUUGAUAUAGAGAAUACAGACAGAACAAUGAUGAUGAGUCAUAUAAGAAACAUAAGUACGACACUAACAAUUCAAGGUAAAGACAUGAAGAUAUCUGUAAGAAAAGGAUAUCAUAACAUAAUGCAUGUCUCGCGUCCUUACUUGCACGGAAACACUCUUCGUGCCAUGAACUCGCAAUAACACAAAAACUUGAUAACAUAUAUGCAAUGGCACGACAUCACCCUUUGUGAUUCUACUCACAUAACAUGGAACGGCAUCACCCUUCGUACUUUUACUCACAAAUGAUAUGGCACCGCAUUACUCUCAAUAAUAUGGCAUGACAUCACCCUUCGUGCUUUUACUCCAAUAAUAUGGCACGGCAUCGCCCUUCGUACUUUAACUCUCAAUAAUAUGGCAUGUCAUCACCCUUCGUGCUUUACACUCUCCCUUACAUGAUAAUGGAUAAACAAUGGCACAAUAUCACCCUUCGUGAUUUACACUCUUCUUUACCAGGCAACAAGGAAGGAAGCAUAAAUAACAUCAAAGGGAGUGUUUAAACGAAUAUUCCAAAUGAAUCCCAAUCAUAACUUUCCAAGGCAAUAAUACUUCAAUAAUCUGCAAGAACCUUAUUAUUCAGGUAUUCCAGCAAUUCUCACAAAUGAUCCACUACCCAAGUACAGAGUCUAGUAUCUCAAGAAUAUCGGCCGUAGUAAUGUAUUAAUGAUUAUGCAUAGUGAUGACCAAAUUAGACACAUCAAUGUGUUCUCGGGAUUUCCAUCAAAGUUGAUCAAGUCAUAACAAGCCAAGUCUUAGUUCCUAACAUUUAAUACUAUGAUUUUAGUAUCUAGGAGUCAAAUAAGGCAUAAAAUAAGAAGGUCACAGAAUUCUACAAGACACAAUUAUAAUAUAAUCUACCCCCGAGCAUGAUUAACCCCGACACAUACAUAUACAUUAGCCACCUCAUAUAUGUAUCACCCACGCAUGUAACAAACAAUGUCAAAUAGUAGGAAAAAUUCUCUCAACAAAGUUAGGCAAGACACUUACCUAAAUUUGGCUAACUCAAUACUCAAUUUAGCUUUUCCUUUACAAAUUCACAUCCGCUUGGCUUAAUAUAGCCAAAGAGGACUUAAAUACAUCACACAAUACAAGAAAAAAUAAUCUCAAUUAAUAAAGGUGUGAUUUUUAUUCAAUUUUUAAAAAAGUCAAUAAAUAUCAAAUCCCGGGACCGCUCGAUCAAAACCCGGGUCCAAGGGUAGGACUUGACUACCUAUAGCCUCACGAGUUCAAAUACGUAUUUUGUUUUCAAAUCCGAGUCAUAUUCGACUCUCAAAUCCUAAAUUUUUAUUUUUCAAAACCUUGACAAAAUCACCAAAAUUUUCCGUAGAUUUCUCAUGAAUUUGAUGUUAAAUCUUUAUAUAUAAUCAUGAAAUGUAUUUGAUAAUUGAUUAGAGGUACUUACCCAAUGAUUUGACAUGAUAAUCCUCUCUCAAAAUAGCCCAUUCUCGGACCUAGGGUUCAGAAUAUGAUAAAAUGAAACUAAGUCCCGAAAUGGGAGUCUUAAUACGAGCCUCAGAUGUCGCAUUUGCGACACUCAGAUCACAAUUGCGAUGCAUGCAAAUGUGACAAAAGCUUCGCAAAAGCAAAGGCUGACCAGCUCUGUUCCGGUCGCAAAUGCGACAUAAGACUCGCAAAUGCGAGCUCUGAGUUUUUCGGAAAAGCAACAGUUGGUGUCGCAAAUGCGGAGCUGCAAUUGCAAAUGCGAUGAUGUAGUUCGAAAUUACGAACUCCCCUGCCCCAUCCUAUCGUCGAAAAAGCGAGAAGUAUCUCGCAAAUGCGAACAUCGCAAAUGCGAUGAAAACCUCGCAAAUGCGAGAACAAAGACACGAGCAUAGCUAAACCUUCUUUCAACACUCCGAAACGCAUAUGAAACUUAUCCGAGCCCUCGGGCUCCAUGCCAAACAUCCACGCAAGUCUGAAAAUAUAAAACGAACUCGCUCGCAUGAUUGGAACACCAAAAUAACCUCUAGAACCACGAAUCGGAUUCCAGAACACAUGAAAAUCACCAUGAACUUCAAAAACUUCAAGAAUCGCAACCAAACGUCCUAACCCUAUCAAAUAAACUCCGAAUGGUGCCAAUUUUUGCAGACAAGUUCCAUAUGACGAAUUGAACGUACUCGAAGCUUCAAAUCACACAAAACAACCUCGAAACGACGAAUCACACCUCAAGUCAAAAUUAAUGAACUAUGAAACUUCAACUUCUAUAAUCGAUGCUGAAACCUAUCAAAUCACGUUCAAUUGACCUUAAAUUUUGCACACAAGUCACAUUUUACAUUACAGGCCUAUUCCAAUUUCUAGAAUCGAAAUCCGACCUCAAUAUCUAAAAGUCCACUCCCGUUCAAACUUCCCAAAAAUCCAACUUUCGCAUUUCAAAACUAAUUCGACUACGGACCUCUAAAUUACAAUGAGGACGCUCUCCUAAGUCCAAAAUCACCCAACGGAGCUAAAGAACCGACGAAACUCCAUUCCCAGGCCUCAAACUAUCGGGCGAAGUGCAGAUGCUCAAAACAACCAGUUGGUCGUUACAUCCUCCAUCACUUAAACACACGUUCGUCCUCGAACUUGCCAGGAGUCGUUCUAAGGCCAUCAAAUCACGGUGUAAUUUUACCAUGCAUAUACUGGAGUAUGAUCCCACAUCACCCUGCUCCAUAUAAGCCAGCCAGCACAACAUAACUAGAGGUCCUUACUUCAUCCUUGGUCCUUAAACCUUAGAACCCAAUCUCUAACAUCCAGAAUCUCACAUCUACAGACUAUAUAAGCCUGAACAAGCCGUAUUAAGCCAUAACCAUAACCCCAAGUUGUAUUCACAUGACAUACCCCAUCAUUCAGAUACUCACAUCAGGAAUUACUGACCACCAUCGCUGCCUAAAAACAAAUCCGGUGCCGGUAGCAAACCUCAUAUUGAUUAGAACCUCGUUCUAAAACCUUCACACACUACCGAUGAUGAAAGAAACAUGCAUAAUCUCUUAACCACACAUCUGAUCAAUAAACUAAGAAGGUCACUCGUCUGACCAAGGCCAUUGCCCAAAUCCUCAGCAGAAACAUGGCAUCAUUCUUUCAAACAUUCAUUAUCUCGAUACGAUAGUGCAAAUCUCAAGGUCUAAAAACCUCAUCUCAGCCAAUACAAGUAGCCCCACCAACAAGUCUCAACAAUCAUCAUAUGGAGCCCCACACAACACGGUUCCUUACACUAACAAGUAAUUAUUCAGACAUGACAGAAAACAGUAAGAAAGUUAAAUAAGAAAGCUACUAAACAAGUUAAGCAGGCUGGGAAAUUUUAGCAUUUUCCUAUGAACUAUUUUCAACAAGGUGAAAGAAAAACUACACGAAGUAAACAUCAGGUGUUACAUUUCAUCCCAGUAUUGUUGUGGCGAGCAACCCGAUCCCAUCAUAUCAAUCCACAUAGGGUACCCGAGAGUCAUUAUACUCGGGCUCACUGAUCACAUGUGCAUAAAUACCAAGCACGAUAGAGUGCACAAAAUAUAACUGUGGGGAAAUUAUUAGGAACAAACAAUACUGAGAAGGACAAGCACAUCUAUGGUGCAAUAAGCAAAUCAACAUCGCGAAGGCCAUCUCACCCAUAGCGCCAUGCAGCCUAAACUGAAUUACAAUAUGCGUUCGAAGAACUAUGUAACCCUCAUAAUCCAUCAUAGCAUAAGAGAGGAAUACAUAACAUAGACCAAGGCGCGAAUCGAUUCCAUUCCGGCCGAUGAUAUACCUGAGGUAACAGCUGCGCAGGAGCAAGCAAAUCCGAUCCGAUACAGAAUACACAUCCUCAUUGAGCAUACCAAUGGGCCCCCAAAUCAACUCCGGGCAUCCCCGAACGGACAAAAAACCCUCAAAAAGUCCACAACGACAUACCCAUAACACAUACUAUCAUUUGGCCCGCUUUAGCCGUACUUCACAGUCCACAACCACUAAUCAAACUGCUUUUGAGAACUCCUAGUCUCCCAUCCAUAGAACACACAAAUCACCCUAUUUGAUCCCAACUCCACCGCCUAAAUGUCUAACACAUCUCUUAAACAUGAUCAUCCUACGAGGAGUACUUCUAAAAUUCUUCUGUGCCACAAAACAAAAUCUGAAUCUCAGCAGUCGACUAACCAGGAAAGCACCGCAACAUCAAUGAUGCAUCCGUAAGUCAAAAUACAAUGUGUCUUCUAAAAUGUACAUCCUUCUCAGGCAAUACUUAGUAGUAAUAGCAUCCACCUAGACAUCUAAAACCGUCCAGGCUGUCUAAGAUUUCACGUACUUCCCUUUAAAACUAAACCGUGACCUUGCACAUGCAAAACUCAAUCCCAAUCAGUCAGAAACCUUCUAUUUGAUCUCAUCAUGGAGGAAAUCCCAAUACGCAACAUGUUUUUCACACCAAUAGGAAAUAUCAACCUCGAACCAUGAUAGAAAUCACCGAGAACUCCUUGAAAUCCAUUUUCACAUAAUCAAGCUAUCAAAACCUAAUCCCUCUAACUUAACCAAGUUACGCAGUUGCCCAAAACCCAUGAGCAUUGCCACGAAACACCUGUGGAGACUCACCACAUCGCAAGUACCUAAAGAACCGAUCAUAACAUUACCGUGUUGAUCCAAGUUCCUAUCAAACCACCUUAUUUCCUCUGAGUUCCUUCCAAUUUACCCUCAAGUUGAUACCCCUUCUUGCGAGAACACCAUGAUCCUUACCCCAAAGUUCGCCAUAAGAGAUUCUAGCAUAAAAAUCACACCGCCCUAAGGCCCAUAAGCCGUUGCAUUCCCCCUUAGCACCCUAAAGUACCACAACCGAGGCACCCACUCUGAUGAGACCUUUUAUGAAUCGAAGGUUGUUUCCUCCACCACUUAGUCUUCCUGUUAAUGAAAUGCAUAAUCCACAAUGAUAUAGAAAUACCGCGAGCCUCGACACCAUCUAAUGUAAAUCUUAAACUUUAGCCAUAACUACUAUGCCACUACUUAAUCUUCCUGAGUCUGAACUCGCCAAUGAGGCAUGAGAAUCAAAUUUAUUCCACAUUUAAACAACAUGAAAACCUUUCAAUACACUCAUAACUCGAGACUAUAUGCCACAUCAAGAAAGAAAUCAAGCACCCAUUAGCCCUUUUUACACCCCAAGCAGGAUCUUCAUCACAUUCAAAUCAUUUUAACAUAGCACGCAGUCACAUCCCACCCAUCAUUUAGUCAUCCAACCACUCGCCUGCCACAUUUUCCACUCAUAGGGAAACUAUUGGAUGUAUAAGUCCCAAAGUAUAUGCUCACACAACCGAAAUCCCCGUGCUUAAGCUAAAGUCAAAACCCGGCCUCAAGUCCUCCAAACUGACCCAUCAUCAGCACACAUGAAUUACAUCUCGCAUCUCGUCCAUGGACUCACAAGUCGUCGAUGCUCCGCCAAUACCGAGCGCUCGCAUGCGCAUACGAAUGCGUGGAAGGAAUUCAAAGAGUUGUGCUCCAACCUAAAUCAAUGAUGCACAAUAAGGAAAGAAAUACGGGAAGUUUAUCCUAAAUACCUUGUAGCCUCUCGAAGAGAGGUAUGAACGUCAUCAUACCGAUCCGCAAGACUUUACUAAACACUUGCUCAUGACUCGUAGAACCUGUGAACCUAGAUAUCUGAUACCAACUUGUCACGACCCAAAAUCACUAGUCAUGAUGACACCUAACUCGACCCGCUAGGUAAGCCAACUAAUAGACAAUGCCUUCCAAAUGAAAUUAUAGGAAGAAUAGUAAAGAAUUAGCUGAACUUUUACACAUUAACCAUAGAACUGGUAGUACAAAUCAUAAACAUCUAAGACUUCCAAUUUACAAAGCUGAUACAAAUAGUUACACGAUCUGUUUGAAAGCUACAUAAACAGAUUAAUAAAAAUCUAAAGCUACCUAGGACAAGUGGAAGUUGUAUCCGGAAUGCACGAUCACCUUCAAGGUCUGCUCCCGACAUCAUCAGCAGCUCCACUCCAAAAGUCUGCAUGCAAGGCGCAGAAGUGUAGAAUGAUUACAACCGACCCCAUGUACCCAGUAAGUAUUUUGACUAGCCUCGUCGAAGUAGUGACAUGGGUUUUCAGUUAAAAGAUACUUAUAGAUAAACACUGUAAUGUAAACUAACAAUAGAAUUAUACUACUGUAUAACAUGAUAGAAUACACGAAAUGAAUGUACAAAACAACAACAAAGUACUAGAAUAAAACACAAUUCAACAGAUUCCAAUAUUUCACCCAAUCCUUUUCUUAGAGCGAAAGCCGAUAAACCACAAUAAUCACCUCAAAACUUUAAUAGUGUGAGAAAUAUACUCAAGACAUUGAAUCCAACGGCACGACAACACCCUUCAUGCAUUUAUCUCAUCCUCACCAAAUAGAAUUCAUUUAUCAAUAGAUUUUUUUCUUCCGUUUGAAUAGAUUUCAAUAAUCAUUUUAGUUACUUUAAUAGGUGCAAUUGUUGUAGCUCGUCAAUAAAAAAAUUCUAUUAAAACUUAGAAUUACGUAAAACAGUACCAACCGAAUGGCAGAAAUACUGAUAAAAGAAAUGACAAAGUAGGAAAUACACAAAUAGUAAUAGUGAACGAGAAUGUACAUAAGGACAUCAACAAUAGACUAGGCGGAAAGCAUAGAGGUAAUGACAAGAAUUAGGAAAAGGAAUGCAACUUCAGCUAAUUAGCAUGACGGAGGCAUGAAGAUAGAUAUAACAGAUAGUAAAGGGGGCACAUGAUCUUUAUCAGUUAACAAGUAGAGACAUGAAUGAUUAACAUGGAAGAAGGCCUGUACCUAAGUGCCACGAAACAGAUAUGAUGUGGAUGCAAUUAUAACAACAGGAAGUAGGCAUGUUAUUUACAAGUUAAGCAAGUAGAAGGCAUGAGAAACACAACAACAAUUGAGAUAGAGAAUAAAGACAAAAAAGUGACGACGAGUCACUUAAGAACCAUAAGUACGACAGUAAUAAUUCAAGGUAAAGACGAGAAGAUAUCUGCAAGAAACGGAUAUCACCACAUAAUGCAUGUCCCUCGUCCUCACUUGCACGGAAACACCCGUCAUACCAUGAACUCGCAAUAACACAAAAGCAUGAUAAUAUAAAUGCAAUGGCACGUCAUCACCCUUCGUAUUUUUACUCACAUAACAUGGCACGACAUCACCCUUCGUGCUUUUACUCACAAAUAACAUGGCACGGUAUUACCCUUCGUGAUUUUGCUCUCAAUAAAAUGGCAAGGCAUCACCCUUCGUGCUUUACACUUUCCCUCACCUGAAAAUGGAUAAACAAUGACACGACAUCACCCUUCAUGCUUUACACUCUUCCUUACCAGGCAUAUGUAUAGCAAUGACGAACAAGGCAGGAAGCAUAAAUAACAUCAAGGGAGGUGUUUAAACGAAUAUUCCAAAUGAAUCCCAAUCACAACUUUCCAAAGCAACAACAGUUCAAUGAUCCGCAAAAACCUUAUUAUUCAGGUAUUCCAACAAUUCUCACAAAUGAUCUACUACCCAAGUAUAGAGUGUAGUAUCUCAAGAAUAUCUACUGCAGCAAUAUAUUAAUGAUUAUACAUAGUGGAUGUCCAAAUUAGACACAUCAAUGUGUUCUCAGGAUUUCCAUCAAAGAUGAUCAAGGCAUAACGAGCCAAGUCUUAGUUCCUAACAUUUAAUAUUAUGAUUUUAGUAUAUAGGAGUCAAAUAAAGCAUGAAACAAGAAGGUCACGUAAUUCUACACGACACAAUUAUAAUAUAAUCUAUCCUUGAGCAUGAUUAACCCCGACAUAUACAUAUACGAUCGUCACCUCAUAUAUGUAUCACUCCCGCAUGUAGCAAACAAUGUCAAAUAGUAGAAAAAAUUCCCUCAACAAAGUUAGGCAAGAUACUUACCUCAAUUCGGUUAACUCAAUACACAAUUUAGCUUUUCCUUUACAAAUUCACCUCCGCUCGGCUCAAUCUAGCCAAAGACAACUUAAAUACAUCACACAAUGCAAGGGAAAACAAUCUCAAUUAAUAAAGUUGUGAUUUUUAUUCAAUUUCUAAAAAGUCAACAAAAAUCAAACCUCGUGCCUGCCGGUCAAAACCUGGGUCCAAGGGUAGGUCUUGACUACUCAUAGCCUCACGAGUUCAAAUACUUUUUUUUUCAAAUCCGAGUCCUAUUUGACUCUCAAAUCCUAAAUUUUUAUUUUUCAAAACUUUGACAAAAACCUCAAAUUUUUCCCUAGAUUUCUCAUGAAUUUAACGUUAAAUCUUAUAUAUAAUCAUGACAUGUAGUUGAGAAUUGAUUAGAGGUACUUACCCAAUGAUUUGACAUGAAAAUCCUCUCUCAAAAUCGCUCAUUCUCGGACCUAGGGUUCAAAAUAUGAUAAAAUGAAGCUAUGUCCCGAAACGGGAGUCAUAAUACCAGCCUUAAAUGUCGGAUUUGUGACAUCCGGAUCGCAAUUGCGAUGCUCGCAAAAGCGUCGCAAAAGCGAAGGCUGACCAGCUCUGUUCAGGUCGCAAAUGUGACAUAAGACUCGCAAAUGCGAGCUCUGAGUUUUUCGCAAAAGCGAUAGUUGUUCUCGCAAAUGCGGAGUUGCAAUCAUAAAUGCGAUGAUGUAAUUCGAAAUUGCGAACUCCCCUGCCCCAGCCCGUCGUUGCAAAAGCGAGAAAUAUCUCGCAAAUACAAUGAAAAGCUUGCAAAUGCGAGAACAGAGACACCAGCACAACUGAACCUUCUUCCAACACUUCGAAACUCAUAUGAAACUCAUCCGAGCUCUCGGGGCUCCAUGCCAAACAUCCACGCAAGUCUGAAAACAUAACACGAACUCGUUCACACGAUUGGAACACCAAAAUAACCUCUAGAACCAUGAAUCGGAUGCCAAAACACAUGAAAAUCACCAUGAACUUCAAGAACUUCAAGAAUAGCAACCAAACGUCCAAACCAUAUCAAAUAAACUCCUAAUGACACUAAUUUUUGCAGACAAGUUCCAUAUGAUGAAACGAACCUACUCGAAGCUUAAAAUCUCGCAUAACAACCUCAAAAUAACGAAUUGCACCUCAAGUCAAAAUCAAUGAACCUUGAAACUUCAACUUCUAUAACCGAUGCUGAAACCUAUCAAAUCACGUCUAAUUGACCUCAAAUUUUGCACACAAGUCACAUUUUAUAUUACGGACCUCUUUCAACCUUCAGAAUCGAAAUUCGAUCUCGAUAUCAAAAAGUCCACUCCCGGUCAAACUUCCCAAAAAUCUAACUUUUGCCAUUUCAAGAAUAAUUUGACUACGGACAUCCAAAUUACAAUCCGGACGCAUUCUUAAGUCCAAAAUGACUCAACGGAGCUAACAGAACCGACGAAACUUCAUUCCGAGGCCUCAAACUACUAGGCGAAGUGCAGAUGCUCAAAACGACCAGUUGGAUCAUUACAGUUAUCAAGAACGAUAUAACUAAUAGUAGCAAUACAAGUAAUACUGACAAUGACAACGAAACAACAACAUAAAAAAAUAACCUAUACAAUAGUAAUAAAAAUAAUAAGGUGACAAAAACAAUUCUUUUAAUAGUUAACAUUCUUUAGAGAAAAGUUUCUAAAUGUUAUUUGACUAUACAAACAACUCGAAAUUGGCACUCCCAAUAUUUGGUUACCCCUAUUUGGAAAGUAGUUAUCAUACUAUUUCAAAUUUGUACCUAAGUACCUACAUUUCAAGAUACUAGAGACCUGAUCUAUGCCUUCCUAGGUUACUUUCAAUUAUUCUCACGAAAUUGAGCAACAAAAUCAAUUUCUUACCAUUUUCUUGAAAGGUGCUAAAUUUUCAGCAUUCAUCUCUCCUAUUACAAUAAUAUGAACUUCUAAUAUUACAUUUGGUAAGAACAUUAUGAAAACAAUCUAUUUAAAGGGAUUUCUCCUCUUGCGAGAGGCAAGUCACAUAGCAAACUAAAGAAAAGAGCUACUUUAUUCUUAAUUUGCUCUUGUUUCUAUCCAAUGGCUUCUCGGAAACGGGGUUCUAGUUCAAAGCAAGAACUUAGCAAGUGAGUUGUGUUUCCAUUUAUUUUUCCUCUUUUCUUGUUUUUUAUUUUAUAGUCUUCAAUAGGUUUUUACGGUGCUUUCAAUUUUUAGCGAAAGGAAAAAUGAAAAUAAGGCACUUAAACUGGAAAAUGAAAUGCUCCGCUUGAAAAACAAAUUGCUAAGUGAAAGGAAGAAGAAUCUACUUUGCUCUACAUGUAGAGAAAAUGAAAAACAAAAGAAAAUCAUUGAACAACUGCUCAAGGAGAUGGGCUGAUCACGUCCAACUAUGCCUUAUCAAAAGGAUUAAGCGGUUGUUGCAAAUAUAAUCCGAUUUACAAGUUCGGAGUUGAAUCCCACAGAGAACUAAGGCCUAGGUACAACUGUUCACUAUCACCAAGAAGACAAGCUUGAACAGUUCUUAACUUAUAGAUAUUAAGAUUCUUGUGUUUAACUAAUUAACUAACAAAUUAAAAUAGUAAUUAACAACUACAGAUACUGAGGGUUAGAGACAAGAUUAAGGAGGUCUAGAGUUAUGAUUUCCCCAAUUGUUGGAAUCCUUCCCGUUGUGUCUUCUAUAAUUUCGCCUAAGUAUUCUCUACCGAUCAUGAGUGCUCUGCAUGUUGUAAUUCUCUCCCGAGUAAUUACGACAAUUUACUAGACAUACUCUCCCGAGUUAUGCUAGCUCGCUAUAAUUAAAGCUCAUUUUGAUCGCACUCAAGGCUUCGUUAUCGCUAAUCCCACCUUUAAACCCUUGUUUAUUUAUUCCUCACAUACGUCGGGAGUGAUGUUUUUCAACAACUAUCUAAAUAUGCACUCCCUCCCGCUUAAUACAUACUAAAUAGGCACAGCUAAUUGAGGGCCCUUCAACCAACCACAAGAAUAAUAUAGUUGAACAAAUAGAGAAAAUACUAUGGCUCGAUUAUAUAAAAACAUACCAAAAAUUUAUCCUAUAAAAGGUUCCAUCAAAACCCUAGAUAACANNNNNNNNNNNNNAAACUCGUAGAAGAAUUCUCCACCUUGCUCCUAUUGUGUUUAUGCCUCCUUAGGUCAAAUCUGUGUCUCAAAUCUGUCCAACCUCAGCCUCCCUAGGUCUAAAUUAUGUCCAACCCCUUAAAAAUACCGUUUUACAUGUAUAUAUACAAAGUAAGGUCGAGCCCAAACAAUUAUACUUUCUCCUACGGGAAAAAGGACAAUUAUUUCAGGUCUGGACGCCGCGGCCGCGGUAUAUGGCAGGUAUACCGACUCAACCCGCCUCAGGUCCGCGGUUGCUGUUUCGAACGCGUUUUUCACCCUUUUCAGUUUGAAAUUUGGAAAAACGUAAAACAUGAAAGUUGUAGCCCCUUGUACUAUCUUUCCAACUAUGUAUUGGGGAGCCCAAAUGGGGUUCUGAGCAAAAUGUUAUGUGCAUUUUACUAGACAGUGCGCAAUAUACCUACUCGAUUCUUCGUUUUGUUGCUCUAUCAUCCAUUGAUCCCCGAAUAAGAUCCCGGCUUAAUUACUUGAGUUUUUACUCAGACUUCAAAGCUCCAAAUAACUUGAAUUCAUUCCAUAACAUCUAUAUAGCUCAGAAUCACUCCUACAAGUCAUAAAACACACAAUUAGUGCAAGACACUAGCGAUUAAAGCUCAAACUCAAUUAAAGUGCAGUAAAUUUGAGUGUAAUAAGAGACUAAAAUACGUAAUUAUAGUCUAUCAUCAUGGGACAAUUGAAAACAGAGGUCAGCUUUCAUCUAAUUAAUAUUCAGUUUUUUUUUUGGGUAAACAAACUGUUUUGAAAUGCUAUAUAAAUUAUUUACUUUAUCUGUCUUUUUCUUUUGCAGUAUGAAAAUCUACCAAGUUCUUGCCCUAGAAAUUCCCAGUGAAAUAUGAUAAUGGAAAAGUUGCGUAUUUCUAAGAUACAAUUGUUGUAGCUCUCUCUUCUGGAGGAGCAAUUUUAAUCUUUAUACUUUGCCAAAUUAUCUUCAAAUUCUACUGGUACUGUAAGGCUCAUUUUCAGAUUCAGUUGCUAUCAUAUUUCUUAUACCCUGCCUUUGUUGAAAUCUAUUACAGCGUUUUAAUGU